rnacentral:misc_RNA from 1 species
AUGAUAACAAACUUAUUUUCCUCUUUUGACCCUAUAUCUUCAACUUUUAAUUUACAACUAAAUUGAUUGUCUAUAUUCUUAUUUAUUAUUGUAUUUUAUCCUUUAUACUGAAUUUCGAAUUCUAAAUCAUCAGUUCUUUAUAGUGAGCUCACAUCUUAUAUCACAAAGGAAUUUAUGCCUUUAUUUAAAAGUUACAAAAAUAUUAUUAUAUUUAAUGUUUUAUUUAUAUUUAUUCUAAUUAAUAAUGUUUUUGGGUUAAUACCUUACACUUUUACUAGAACUGCCCAUAUUGCAAUAACUUUAUCAAUGGCUUUGACUAUCUGGGUAAUUUUUAUAUUAUACGGAUGAGUUAACAACACAAAUCAUAUAUUUGCUCACUUAGUUCCUUUAGGAACUCCUAUUGUUUUAAUACCAUUUAUGGUAUUAAUUGAAUCUAUUAGAAAUAUUAUUCGUCCUAUUACCUUAUCGGUACGUUUAGCUGCUAAUCUAACUGCUGGUCACUUGCUUUUAAUUUUGCUUGGAGAGAGUAUGGUUAAUAAUAGAAUUCUAAUUAUUAUUACCGUGACUGCGGCUCAAUUCGCUUUAAUAACUCUUGAAGCAGCUGUAGCUGUAAUUCAAGCUUAUGUUUUUGCUACUUUAUCCACUUUAUACGCUAGAGAAGUAUAA